UUCGGGGUACACGAGUGGCGAACGGGUGAGUAACACGUGGGUAAUCUGCCCUGCACUUCGGGAUAAGCCUGGGAAACUGGGUCUAAUACCGAAUAGGACCACAGGACAGAUGUCUUGUGGUGGAAAGCUUUUGCGGUGUGGGAUGGGCCCGCGGCCUAUCAGCUUGUUGGUGGGGUGAUGGCCUACCAAGGCGACGACGGGUAGCCGGCCUGAGAGGGUGUCCGGCCACACUGGGACUGAGAUACGGCCCAGACUCCUACGGGAGGCAGCAGUGGGGAAUAUUGCACAAUGGGCGAAAGCCUGAUGCAGCGACGCCGCGUGGGGGAUGACGGCCUUCGGGUUGUAAACCUCUUUCACCAUCGACGAAGGUCCGGGUUUUCUCGGGCUGACGGUAGGUGGAGAAGAAGCACCGGCCAACUACGUGCCAGCAGCCGCGGUAAUACGUAGGGUGCGAGCGUUGUCCGGAAUUACUGGGCGUAAAGAGCUCGUAGGUGGUUUGUCGCGUUGUUCGUGAAAUCUCACGGCUUAACUGUGAGCGUGCGGGCGAUACGGGCAGACUUGAGUACUGCAGGGGAGACUGGAAUUCCUGGUGUAGCGGUGGAAUGCGCAGAUAUCAGGAGGAACACCGGUGGCGAAGGCGGGUCUCUGGGCAGUAACUGACGCUGAGGAGCGAAAGCGUGGGGAGCGAACAGGAUUAGAUACCCUGGUAGUCCACGCCGUAAACGGUGGGUACUAGGUGUGGGUUUCCUUCCUUGGGAUCCGUGCCGUAGCUAACGCAUUAAGUACCCCGCCUGGGGAGUACGGCCGCAAGGCUAAAACUCAAAGAAAUUGACGGGGGCCCGCACAAGCGGCGGAGCAUGUGGAUUAAUUCGAUGCAACGCGAAGAACCUUACCUGGGUUUGACAUGCACAGGACGCCGGCAGAGAUGUCGGUUCCCUUGUGGCCUGUGUGCAGGUGGUGCAUGGCUGUCGUCAGCUCGUGUCGUGAGAUGUUGGGUUAAGUCCCGCAACGAGCGCAACCCUUGUCUCAUGUUGCCAGCGGGUAAUGCCGGGGACUCGUGAGAGACUGCCGGGGUCAACUCGGAGGAAGGUGGGGAUGACGUCAAGUCAUCAUGCCCCUUAUGUCCAGGGCUUCACACAUGCUACAAUGGCCGGUACAAAGGGCUGCGAUGCCGCGAGGUUACNANCCUUUUNANCGCGAAUCCUUUUAAAGCCCGUCUCAGUUCGGAUCGGGGUCUGCAACUCCUAGACCCCGUGAAGUCGGAGUCGCUAGUAAUCGCAGAUCAGCAACGCUGCGGUGAAUACGUUCCCGGGCCAANUUGUACACACCGCCCGUCACGUCAUGAAAGUCGGUAACACCCGAAGCCAGU
rnacentral:rRNA from 1 species